AAUGAACGUUGGCGGCGUGGAUUAGGCAUGCAAGUCGCGCGACAAGGAACCUUCGGGUUCUGGAGGAGCGGCAAACGGGGUAGUAAGGCAUCGGAACGUACCCUCUUGUUGGGAAUAGCCGCGGGAAACUGCGAGUAAUGCCCAAUAAUCCCUACGGGGCAAAGGUCCGCCGCAGGAGGAGCGGCCGAUGUGAUACCAGCUAGUUGGUGAGGUAAUGGCUCACCAAGGCUUAGACGUCUAGGGGGUGUGAGAGCAUGGCCCCCACCACUGGGACGUGAGAUACUGCCCACGACACCUACGGGUGGGCUGCAGUCGAGAACCUUCGGUCGAAUAGGGCGGCAAGCCUCGACCGACGCAACGCCGGCCGUGCGGGAGUGAAGG
rnacentral:rRNA from 1 species